GACGAACGCUGGCGGCGUGCUUAACACAUGCAAGUCGAACGGUAAGGCCCUUCGGGGUACACGAGUGGCGAACGGGUGAGUAACACGUGGGUGAUCUGCCCUGCACUUCGGGAUAAGCCUGGGAAACUGGGUCUAAUACCGGAUAGGACCACUGCCUGCAUGGGUGGUGGUGGAAAGCUGUUGCGGUGUGGGAUGGGCCCGCGGCCUAUCAGCUUGUUGGUGGGGUGAUGGCCUACCAAGGCGACGACGGGUAGCCGGCCUGAGAGGGUGACCGGCCACACUGGGACUGAGAUACGGCCCAGACUCCUACGGGAGGCAGCAGUGGGGAAUAUUGCACAAUGGGCGCAAGCCUGAUGCAGCGACGCCGCGUGAGGGAUGACGGCCUUCGGGUUGUAAACCUCUUUCAGCACCGACGAAGCGCAAGUGACGGUAGGUGCAGAAGAAGCACCGGCUAACUACGUGCCAGCCGCCGCCGUAA
rnacentral:rRNA from 1 species